GAGUAACGCGUGGGAAUCUGCCCUUUGGUGGGGGACAACUAGGGGAAACUCUAGCUAAUACCGCAUAUAAUUGGUAACAAUGAAAGAUUUUAUUGCCAAAGGGUGAGCCCGCGUCAGAUUAGGUAGUUGGUAGGGUAAUGGCCUACCAAGCCUGUGAUCUGUAGCUGAUUUGAGAGAAUGAUCAGCCACACUGGGAUUGAGAUACGGCCCAGACUCCUACGGGAGGCAGCAGUAAGGAAUAUUGGACAAUGGGGGAAACCCUGACCCAGCAAUGCCGCGUGAAUGAAGAAGGCCUUCGGGUUGUAAAGUUCUUUCGCUUACGAUGAUAAUGACAGUAGUAAGAUAAGAAGGUCCGGCUAACUCUGUGCCAGCAGCCGCGGUGAGACAGAGGGACCUAGCGUUGUUCGGAAUGACUGGGCGUAAAGGGUGCGUAGGUGGUUACUUAAGUAGGGUGUUAAAUCCUUGGGCUCAACCCAAGAACCGCAUUCUAUACUGGGUGACUGGAGUAUGGGAGAGGAGAUUGGAAUUCCUAGUGUAGAGGUGAAAUUCGUAGAUAUUAGGAGGAACACCAGAGGCGAAGGCGAAUCUCUGGCCCAUUACUGACACUGAGGCACGAAAGCGUGGGGAGCAAACAGGAUUAGAUACCCUGGUAGUCCACGCCCCUAAACGAUGAGUGCUAGACGUUGGAAUUUUAUUUUCAGUGUCGCAGCUAACGCGUUAAGCACUCCGCCUGAGGAUUACGGUCGCAGACUAAAACUUAAAGGAAUUGACGGGGGCC
rnacentral:rRNA from 1 species